GCGAACGCUGGCGGCAGGCCUAACCCAUGCAAGUCGCACGAACCUUUCGGGGUUAGUGGCGGACGGGUGAGUAUCACGUGGGAACGUGCCUUUAGGUUCGGAAUAACUCAGGGAAACUUGUGCUAAUACCGAAUGUGCCCUUCGGGGGAAAGAUUUAUCGCCUUUAGAGCGGCCCGCGUCUGAUUAGCUAGUUGGUUGAGGUAAUGGCUCACCAAGGCGACGAUCAGUAGCUGGUCUGAGAGGAUGAUCAGCCACAUUGGGACUGAGACACGGCCCAAACUCCUACGGGAGGCAGCAGUGGGGAAUCUUGCGCAAUGGGCGAAAGCCUGACGCAGCCAUGCCGCGUGAAUGAUGAAGGUCUUAGGAUUGUAAAAUUCUUUCACCGGGGACGAUAAUGACGGUACCCGGAGAAGAAGCCCCGGCUAACUUCGUG
rnacentral:rRNA from 1 species